rnacentral:rRNA from 1 species
CCUACGGGAGGCAGCAGUGGGGAAUAUUGGGCAAUGGGCGCAAGCCUGACGCAGCAACGCCGCGUGAAGGAAGAAGGCCUUCGGGUCGUAAACUUCUGUUGACAGGGAAGAGUAGAAGACGGUACCUGUCGAAUAAGCCACGGCUAACCACGUGCCAGCAGCCGCGGUAAUACGUAGGUGGCAAGCGUUGUCCGGAUUUACUGGGUGUAAAGGGCGUGUAGCCGGGUUGACAAGUCAGAUGUGAAAGCCUGCGGCUUAACCGCAGAACUGCAUUUGAAACUGGUGAUCUUGAGUACUGGAGAGGCAGACGGAAUUCCUAGUGUAGCGGUGAAAUGCGUAGAUAUUAGGAGGAACACCAGUGGCGAAGGCGGUCUGCUGGACAGCAACUGACGGUGAGGCGCGAAAGCGUGGGUAGCAAACAGGAUUAGAUACCCUUGUAGUC